AGACCACCAUCAAUUCCUUCCUCGAUGACUAUCGCCCUGUUGAAGGUAUAAUGAUUGCUCACUCGGGUCGCUCAGUGGUGACACUUUUCAGGUUCGGCGAGGUUGCCAUGAGCCACACAAAGACUAGGAUGGAAGAGGCGUGGACUAUCGAGGAGGUGGCCUUCAACGUCCCCGGCCUCUCCGUUGAUUGUUUCAUCCCUCCGGCGGAUAUACGGUGCGGGUCGAUCAGCGAGGCCAGUGAGCUGCCACAAGGGGAGCGGGGAAGGACCCCCGCAGCUGGUCAUCAUCGAUCCAAGGUUGCGGCGGUGGAGAAACAACAAGAUCACGG
rnacentral:misc_RNA from 1 species